UACGGAGGGUGCACGCGUUAUCCGGAUUCACUGGGUUUAAAGGGUGCGUAGGUGGGUUUGUAAGUCAGUGGUGAAAUCUCCAAGCUUAACUUGGAAACUGCCGUUGAUACUAUAAAUCUUGAAUGUUGUGGAGGUGAGCGGAAUAUGUCAUGUAGCGGUGAAAUGCUUAGAUAUGACAUAGAACACCAAUUGCGAAGGCAGCUCACUACACGAAUAUUGACACUGAGGCACGAAAGCGUGGGGAUCAAACAGG
rnacentral:rRNA from 1 species